rnacentral:rRNA from 1 species
UAAUACGGAGGGUGCAAGCGUUACUCGGAAUCACUGGGCGUAAAGGACGCGUAGGCUGGUUGGUAAGUCUGAUGUGAAAUCCUACAGCUUAACUGUAGAACUGCAUUGGAAACUACCAACCUAGAGUAUGGGAGGGGGAGAUGGAAUUAGUGGUGUAGGUGUAAAAUCCGUAGAUAUCACUAGGAAUACCUAAAGCGAAGGCGAUCUCCUGGAACAUUACUGACGCUAAGGCGUGAAAGCGUGGGGAGCAAACGGGAUUAGAUACCCCGGUAGUCCACGCCCUAAACGAUGAACACUAGUCGUCGGGAAGCUUGUCUUCUCGGUGAUGCACUUAACAGAUUAAGUGUUCCGCCUGGGGAGUACGGUCGCAAGAUUA